UACGUAGGGACCGAGCGUUGUCCGGAUUCAUUGGGCGUAAAGAGCUCGUAGGCGGUCUGUUGCGUCCGCUGUGAAAACCCAGGGCUUAACCCUGGGCUUGCAAUGGAUACGGGCAGACUAGAGACAGAUAGGGAAGAAUGGAAUUCCCAGUGUAGCGAUGAAAUGCGCAGAUAUCAAGAGGAACACCGAUGGCGAAGACGGUUCUCUAAGCCUGACCUGACGCUGAGGAGCGAAAGCGUGGAAAGCGAACAGG
rnacentral:rRNA from 1 species